AGGGGAUCCCAAAUGACUGGUGCAUAACCAAGGCAGUGAAGCUAUUAGUACUAGUAGUGGUACGUACUUCCAUGUUUACCAGGAAGUGAUAAACCUGUGAAUAUGAGGAGCUGCAUGCUUUACCAAAGGUAUGAGGGUAUAUGCCAAAGGGUUAGGGAUUUAAAAAUAAAUGACUAGUGCAUAUUAUCACACUAAAUAUUGACAUAAUGUUUUUGCCUUAUUGGCAGUCAUUCUCUCUAGAUUGAUAUUUAAUAAGCUAUAAAAAAUGUUAAUAGCGUAUUAUUUUGCUCUCGCAAGAUUAUAAUAAACUUCACUUUGACUUACGAUUGACAUUGUCGGGAAAACGUCUAUUCGUGACUUCUGGCUCUCCGAAUUUUAAUAUUAUAUAAAAUAGCAUGCUCGACGUCUCGAACCCCAUGAUCAAACAUUCAAAGGUUAUGAUCUUUUAAAUAAAAU